UACGUAGGGUGCGAGCGUUGUCCGGAAUUACUGGGCGUAAAGAGCUUGUAGGUGGUUUGUCGCGUUGUUCGUGAAAUCUCACGGCUUAACUGUGAGCGUGCGGGCGAUACGGGCAGACUAGAGUACUGCAGGGGAGACUGGAAUUCCUGGUGUAGCGGUGGAAUGCGCAGAUAUCAGGAGGAACACCGGUGGCGAAGGCGGGUCUCUGG
rnacentral:rRNA from 1 species